UUUAAUUAUAAACUCAAUCAAGAUUACAUUA
rnacentral:rRNA from 1 species